rnacentral:rRNA from 1 species
UACGGGAGGGUGCGAGCGUUGUCCGGAUUUAUUGGGUUUAAAGGGUGCGUAGGUGGGUUGGUAAGUCAGUGGUGAAAUCUCCGAGCUUAACUUGGAAACUGCCAUUGAUACUAUCAGUCUUGAAUACCGUGGAGGUCAGCGGAAUAUGUCAUGUAGCGGUGAAAUGCUUAGAUAUGACAUAGAACACCAAUUGCGAAGGCAGCUGACUAC